rnacentral:tRNA from 1 species
GCCCUCGUAGCUCAAUGGAUAGAGCAAGCCCGUCCUAAGGGAGAGGUUGGCUGUUCGAAUCAGCCCGAGGGCA